rnacentral:rRNA from 1 species
ACUCCUACGGGAGGCAGCAGUGGGGAAUUUUGCACAAUGGGAACCGUAGCAUGCAGCGACGCCGCGUGAUUUAGAAGGCCUUCGGGUUGUAAAAUCUUUUGUAUAGGAAGAAAUGACAGUACUAUACGAAUAAGGUCCGGCUAAUUACGUGCCAGCAGCCGCGGUAAUACGUAAGGACCGAGCGUUGUCCGGAAUCAUUGGGCGUAAAGGGUACGUAGGCGGGUCAUUAAGUUAGAAGUCAAAGGCUAUAGCUCAACUAUAGUAAGCUUCUAAAACUGGAGACCUUGAGUAAUGGAAGGGAAAGUGGAAUUCCUAGUGUAGCGGUGGAAUGCGCAGAUAUUAGGAGGAAUACCGGUGGCGAAGGCGACUUUCUGGCCAUUAACUGACGCUGAGGUACGAAAGCGUGGGUAGCAAACAGGAUUAGAUACCCUGGUAGCUACGAG